AGCUACUUGUCAGUGUUUCCAUGGAGUUGGCUCUCCAGAUGAGCGUGCUGUAGGGUUAUGCCUCAGCCUAGAACAUGAAAGAACAAAACCUCACAAACACUGCAGAUGAGGUCAUUGCCGUUUUCGGACAAAACAGACAGGAAGGACAGGCUGCGGGUUCCAUCUUCAUCUAAGAGAAGAGAGAGGAGAAAGAGAGCCUCUGUCUUCAGUGAUGUGGCAAAGUCCUAUGCGAGAAGCCAGCACCCUUCAUCAGGGAGCUACACACACCCUUGACCCAGGAGUCUGAGACACUAAAGGAGGCUCCAGCGAGAGAGAGCUGUAAGAGUUGUGGGGCCAGCCACAGCCUGGUGCCAGCCAGGUGAGCCCACAGUUCCAGAUAACUGAGUCUCAGUAUAAGAGGGACAACCCCAUGACAAUGGUGACAAGGACAGCUGUUGGCUGAGAGCCUCCCAUGUGAAAGCUUCAUAUCCAAUCAUCAGGUGGCAUGAAAACAAUGAAAGGGAUGCCCGUGCUCUGAGAAUCCACUUCUGCUAAGGUUCACCUGAGCCAACCCCACAGCACCGCGUGCUCAGACCUCAUUCCUUCUUUUCUUGCUCUGGGUCUGCUUCCGGGACUAAC